GUCUCCGUUCAAAAAAAAAAUCUCAUCGACUCAUCCCUCUCGCACUCCCGCCGUCCUCCGCCCGCCGCCGCCUCGCGCGCGUCCUCCGCCUGCCGCCGCGCGCGCGGCGACAGGCGGAGGAGCCCGCGCCGCCCGCCGCCCUCCCCCUCCUCUCCGUCUCCUCCUGUGCCGCGCACUCUCCGGCGCGCCGCCUCCGUCCCCUCCUCCGGCAAUCCCUCCACCACUGUCCCCGCUGCUGUGCGCCGUCGCGAUUCCGUGGGAAGCUGCUACCCCCCGCAGUCGCAACCACGCGCCGUCAGGCCACCCCCGCCGCCAUGCGCCGUCCAGACCACGGGCGUGCAUCGAGCCGUCCCCUAAUCCCGGCGCGUGAGCAGCUGGUGGAUCGAGCCGGCCGGCGGAGUCCCAGCCACGCGCAGCAACUAAUGUGGGACCUUCCCUGGCAUAAGAACACGUAAACAUCGUUGCCGCUGGCCCCGCUGUCCUUGGCUAGAAGAAGUUCCAUACGACGCCAGCUGCUGACAACGGACACAAGCUAGCACGGCUAGGAUGCCGUCGCAAGAAGAUGAAGCGGUGCCCCAGAUCUACUAAUCACAAGGCUGAGACGGUGGUGCAGGCAGCUUGUAGGAAUGUAGGGGAGAUGACUGAUUUACAUCUACCCCUUCUCAGACCUAUGCUGUUGAUGCCGGUCGUUGAGGAGGUACCCAGUGCACAUUUUGCCCUUGUCAAAUAAUGCAUGCCUGCAACUACAGUAGCAAGCAAGGUACCCACCUGACGAUUUCACAGUUUGCAGGUUCAGUUCUUGAUGAUAGGAAGCAAGAGCAGCACAAUGAGGCAACUGAUCAGCUCCCAAAAAGCAAAGAUCAUUCCUCCAGCCAGCUAGACCAUUUAGUUCGUUUCUUCCAUGUAGGUGUUAUUCUGAUUAUGUAGUAAAACUACUGGGCAACAAGAUAUGAAUUGUUACAUCAGGUGAGACAGCUUAUCCUGGCAGCAACUGUCCUACAUUGAGCAGGGGGAAAGGAAGUACUGGUUGCAGGUAUUAACCAUUGCCAGUUGCUUACUUCUGUAAUAUUCGGAAAUAUUUUCGUUGGAGUAUUCCUGACUCCUGUAAAAGUAAGGUCAUCUCAUAUAUGCUGGUUACGUAGCUGAAUAUUCAUAACUAUUUUCAUUAGAACAUUUGGAGCAAAUGAAUUUUGUAAACAAACUACAGCUGUUGUCAUGUGUGAAAUCUUGGGGCACAAUGACACAACUUACAUGCCCAUCUUUUUCCUUGUUCUGUGAUGGAGUUUUUUUACAAUGCCUCAGUGGCCAUCUUACAUAUAUAUGUACAGAUUUCUGAAAUUUUCCAUUGGAACACAUGAUUUGUUGCAUCAGGUAUUGGUCACAAGUAUUAACCACAGUCAAAUCCAUAUUUUAAGAAAAAAAACAGACUGAACUCAUGACCGUUCUUUUACUGGCCAAUUUUGUUGUUGCUUAACAUGCGCUUACAUGGCUGUGGUCAGUCUUCAUCACGGUCAAAUGCGCUUGAUGCGAUUUAGUGUUCUAAGGAGCCUUUUAAGAUUGGUAUAUACUAUAUGAGAAAUUUUUUACCAGUCACAGUGACCAUCUUACAUAUAUAUGUACAGUUUUCUGAAAUUUUUCAUCAGAACACAUGAUUUGUUGCAUCAGGUAUUGGUCACAGGUAUUAACCACUGCCAAAUCCAUAUUUUAGGGGGGGGGGACAAACUGAACUCCAUGACCGUUCUUUUACUUGCCAAUUUUGUUGUUGCUUAACAUGCAUUUACAUGGCUGUGAUCUGUCUUCAUUACGGUCAAAUGCGCUUGAUGCGAUUUAGUUGUUCUAAGGAGCCUUUUAAGAUUGGUAUAUACUAAAUGAGAUAAAUUAUUUAUGGAAUUAGUCUUGUGAUUAUUGUUUUUCUAAUUUGGAAAGAACUGAUAAGGGCAUAGUGCUUAUGUAUAGCUCAUAGCAGUGUAAUUUUCCAUUGUCACAUUGGGGCAUUUGCCAUACUUAAUUCUCAUAAUUUGAGAAUGUAUUUGGCGUAGAUGGAUUUUAGUGGAACUCAACAGUUUCUUCCCUUUGGUGGCUGAAUGCACGUAUGCCUAAUAGUAUGUGAUCGUUGUCAUUUUUCAUGUCCCAUGCUAAAAAUACUAGAAAACAUUCUAAUUCUCUUUUGUCAGAUCACAACUUGUGCCAUCAAAAUCAUCGCAAGCCAAUAGGUUUUCUGGUGGUGAUUCAACUUUCAACUAACGGAGGUGAUAUCAAUUCACGAAGACGUAUCCAAAUAAAGGUAUGGGAACGGGAAGUUGGCUAUAUUUGCAAAUGAGCUACACAUAUUGUUGCAUUGAAUGUAAUUAUUACUGUGAGAGUAGCCACCAUGGAUAUUGCAAUGGUAAAUAUAUUAUUGUUUUGUUCCCAUAAGAUGCCAAGUACGAAUUCUAAAGUAUGCAAGUAUGGUUGGUGCUUA